UGGAUCCAGAACUUUGAUCAUGGCUCAGGACGAACGCUGGCGGCGUGCUUAACACAUGCAAGUCGAACGAGAAUCUACUGAAGGAGGAUUCGUCCAACGGAAGUAGAGGAAAGUGGCGGACGGGUGAGUAACGCGUGAGGAACCUGCCUUGAAGAGGGGGACAACAGUUGGAAACGACUGCUAAUACCGCAUGAUGCAUAAGGGUCGCAUGAUUCUUAUGCCAAAGAUUUAUCGCUUCAAGAUGGCCUCGCGUCUGAUUAGCUGGUUGGCGGGGUAACGGCCCACCAAGGCGACGAUCAGUAGCCGGACUGAGAGGUUGAACGGCCACAUUGGGACUGAGAUACGGCCCAGACUCCUACGGGAGGCAGCAGUGGGGAAUAUUGGGCAAUGGGCGCAAGCCUGACCCAGCAACGCCGCGUGAAGGAAGAAGGCUUUCGGGUUGUAAACUUCUUUUAAGAGGGAAGAGCAGAAGACGGUACCUCUAGAAUAAGCCACGGCUAACUACGUGCCAGCAGCCGCGGUAAUACGUAGGUGGCAAGCGUUGUCCGGAUUUACUGGGUGUAAAGGGCGUGCAGCCGGGUCUGCAAGUCAGAUGUGAAAUCCAUGGGCUCAACCCAUGAACUGCAUUUGAAACUGUAGAUCUUGGGUGUCGGAGGGGCAAUCGGAAUUCCUAGUGUAGCGGUGAAAUGCGUAGAUAUUAGGAGGAACACCAGUGGCGAAGGCGGAUUGCUGGACGAUAACUGACGGUGAGGCGCGAAAGUGUGGGGAGCAAACAGGAUUAGAUACCCUGGUAGUCCACACUGUAAACGAUGAAUACUAGGUGUGCGGGGACUGACCCCCUGCGUGCCGCAGUAAACACAAUAAGUAUUCCACCUGGGGAGUACGAUCGCAAGGUUGCAACA
rnacentral:rRNA from 1 species